UCAUUAGUAAGCCACGGCGCUGGCAAAUG
rnacentral:sRNA from 1 species